rnacentral:lncRNA from 1 species
UUAGAUGGAGUCUUGCUUUGUCAUCCAGGCUGGAGUGUAAUGAUGGAAUCUCGGCUCACUGCAACCUCUGCCUCCCAGGUUCAAGCGAUUACCAGGCCUCAGCCUCCUGAGUAGCUGGGGUUACAGUUAAGAGAACUGGAGACACAAAAAAGCUAAGUGAAUUAUGCAAAGCCACCCAGCUAGAAGUGACUUUCUUCAGAGGAAGUUCUUGGAAUUCCUGUGCCACCAUAAGAGUUACUCACCUGCUGGAUUUUUAUGAGAAGAGAGCACCUCCUGAAACUAGAGUUAUGAAAACACAUACUUUGCAAAAGAUUUCAGUGGAAAUCAUGGGUGAGCCUGCUUCUAACAACUCCCUCAAAAGGCUCUGUAACCCGUCCAAAAGAUGAUGUCAAGUGCUACAAGGACCCAGGUCAGCCCUGCAUCAUAGGUAACAGUUACCCCAGUGAUAAAGUUACCAGGCAGGUUUUGAAUGAGAUUGUGUUUUUAAAUGAAAGACUGGCUGGAAAUGUAGACUUGGACCAAGCAUUAAUAGGGGAAAAUUUGAGACAAACAGAGGUUAGCAUUUGGUUUCUUUGUGGUGUUCAGCAAAGGUCAGGGAAGGUUCUAAUACAGAAGGAACCCAAAGUUUCAAUGAGAAGUCGUGGUGCUCCAGCAAUACACGAGCAUGUAGCUUAGACAAAGUGAACUCUAGCUUUAGCCAAGAGCAAUUUUAUGACAUGGGAGCCCCAGUCAUUCAACUGAAACUGGUCACUUAUCUUGGAUAAAUCCGUGAGCAGUUGAAGACCUGCUGAAUAUCUUAUUUAAUUUUAUUCUGAGGAAGAAGUGGCACCCCUCAACCCCCAUGCCAACUGUUUAGAUCAAAUGGGGAGGGAGGACAUAAACAGCAGGCAUGGGACCUGUCAGAUAGCUUUAGAGAUUAACUUUAUGGUUUUUCUCCUAUACACCAGAGUCAUGGCUGUAGAGGCAGCUCAUGAAUUGACCAGACCCCAAAUGGCAACCAUGUUCCCAUUAUCCAUCUGUUGUGUUCCUCACAAAGGUUUAAGUACAAGAUUGAUUAUGCAUGUCUGACAAUGUGAAGUACCUCUGAGUAAAGAAACUAGAAACAGUUUCUCACUCCGGACAAAAGAAAGAUGUACAUCCAGAAGAUAAAUAGUGAAAAUCUAGGCAAUAAAUACAUAGGAGAUACCUAUGUUGUUGUAAAAAAAAAGGGAACAGUUUUUGAAUGUUCUGAAAAUUUUAAUACCUUGAUUUAAAGUGCCUAUACAAGUUGAUUUUAAAAAUAAGUACGUAAAACUCUCUUCAAAGCAAACACAGCUAGUGAGAAACCACAUCUCACUGAAAACAAGCUUUAUGUGGAGAAAAGUAAGGAAUUGUUACAGCACAAAUCUGAAAUUAAACUCACUGCAACUAAAAGGAAAAAUCAGAUUGUUUGCUCAGAUGAAGAGUUUAUUAUGUUGGCAUAAACAAAAUGAAAAUAUUUUCAGUUUUGAAAAGACAACAAAGAGGGAACGGUUUUGCAUGGAUGGUCACGGAGAGGGGGAUUAAAAGCACAGAGGUGCGGAGCAUACGUGCUGCUGAGCUUCUCUCUGUGCAAGGUGGAGAUUAGACUCACGGAAACUCUUGCUGCUGUAAACCCGAGGGGACGCGGUUCCUGACUCCUCCACCAGCUGCUGCCCAGCCGGCUCCAGCACAGGCUGCCCAGGCCAUGCUUCCUGGCCGAGGGCCCUCCACGUGGGCGUCAGCCUAGUCCGGGAGAGCUGGCGGCUCCACGAUGGUAAUGUCUAACCCUGCAUCCUUCCUCGGGCGCCACCUGUUUCUUUCUCUGUGACUCUUUUUUGAUUGGGAAGAAAGAUGUUUUGUCAAUGAUUCCUGACUCCAGAGAAUUUUAGGAGGGUCUUCUUUCUUUCCCUCUUCAUCCUGAAAGGGGACUUUGCUUGAAAUUUCCUCAGUAGAAAGAAGUCAGAAAAAUAAUACCUUCACAGUAUAGAACUUUAUCUACUUCAAAGCCCUUUCCCAUACUUUAUCUCCUUCAAUACUACCCUAUGAGGUGGUAGGGCAGGUGUUCUUAAGCCCCAUUUUGCAGAUGAUGACCCUGAGGCUCAGAGAGGUUAAAUGUGUUGCCCAAGCUCACACAGCUGGUAAGUGAAGUCCAGGGUAAGAACUCUGACUCCUGGCCUUGAACUUUUUCAGAUUUUAUCACAAUGAGCAUGUGCUGCUUUCUACAAAGAGAUUUGGAAUAAUAUAGAUGACAAGAUGUAUUUUUCACUUCUUAUUUACUCGUGUGUAUUGCUACUACUGCCUUAUUUUCACAUUCCAAAGUAACUUAUUUAUUAUUCAUCUUCUUGAGAAGUGGGUAAUUAUGUUUUUAUAUGUUUUCUUUUAGAUAACUAUAGCCCUGUUGUGGGUUAUAUGCUACUUAUGUGUCCUUGGGAUCUUUCGAUAGAUAGAUGAUAGAUAGAUAGAUAGAUAGAUAGAUAAACAGAUAGAUGACAAAGAUAUGCAGACAUGUACUUUUUGAUAUUGACAGUAAUGUAUUCAUUUGUAUUUGUUUCCCAAAGAAAUAGUUUUACUUGAUGGUAUUUUGUGUUUUUCUCUAACUCUCAUUCAAAACUUAUGCAAAUUGUUAAUGCCCAAAGAUUUUUGAAGAAAAGAAUUUAGGAGAAAACCUUAACCACGUUACACCCAAUAUCUUCCAAUGAUUUUAAAGUUUCACUAGAGGGCACUCCCACUUCAUGGCCAGAAAGCAGUCAGGACAAAGGACCAUAGUGGUUUGGAUAUUUAACUUGCUGUACAUACUAUUUUGUUUUCUCUUUCUCACUCUCUCUCCUCUUGCCUAUUGUAUAAAAACUAACGGAAAUUAUACAGGUCUUCCUUUAAACAUAUAAAUAGAAAUGAACUACAUUGAAAAACUAGCAAACAUCUACAACUGUGAAUUAUGGUUCACCUUGUGACAUAGAGCAUAUUAUUCAAAAUCUUCUGCAUUGAAGUUUUGGUUGUCAACAUAAAUAAAAGUAUGAAAUAUAGUGUGAGACAUUAGCGUACUACAUUAAGUAAUAUGUCCUUUAUUGAGCAACCUGGGGAAGAAAGCCAAUAACUACCCAGCACUUAUUUCCAGCUUGUAGGAUCAUCAUGGUCAUCUUUUCUGGUAAAUCUUUGGGUAAAUCCAAAUCACAAAGAUGUGUAGGGUCAGAAAAUGAGAAUUAAAGGAAAAUCCAAAUGGAUAAUCAAAUAAUAUUGCUUUAGAAUAAAUUAAACGUUAGGCCCCACUUUUUAAUGUAUAUAUUUUUAUGUAUUAAAGAAUCUGAAGAUUAUUUUAAAUACAUAUUUUAGCAAAACAGUAGAGCAUUUCUUGUGAGAGGAAAAUAAGGUAUUUCAAAGUUAGAAGGGAAGUAGCCAUUUGCCAAGUAUAGAACCCCACAGAGUCCUUAGGCUUGAAGUUUCAAACUGAUUUCAACCCUUUGGGGGUUUGAAUUUCUCUACUGUUGGCAAAACACAACUUCUUGCUUCAAAGAGAAAUGGCAUUAAGAAGGCCUGUUACAGAGAGACUCAAAAGACUUGUUGGACACCAAAUCACUCUUACAAAACACCAUUUUGAUGAGUUUAGUAAAAAUGAAUCACAAACAUAUGGAUUAAGUUUUUCUUUAAAAUUAUAUUGGCUUAUAAAACAAGGGAAAGGGGGCAUGGUAAAAAAAAAAAAAAAAGUUUCAAGCUUUGCAAAACUCCAAAACAUUUGAAAAACGGAUUAAGAUGCUGAUGGACCCAGGGAAGCAACUGGAUUUUCCCUGUGCUAACUUGAACCAUCUUUAUUUGAUUUAAAUUCAUAUCAAAGGCAAAAUAAACAAUAUGACUGUCUGCCAUUAUUAUCCACAAAGGGAAACACACAUUUGCUUCUUAACCAUCCACUUACAUGCUUCGGUGAAAUCGUAGGCGUAUGUGUUUAUUUCACAAUGAUGUAAAACUUAAUUACUCAUAUGACCUAAAAGGUUUCAUAUUAUAUGAAUAGAAUGCAGUGCCUCUAAUGUAGCCUAAGCUGAGGACUCCUUGGGAAACUUAUCCCAAAUAAUUAAUUACUGGAGUUAAAUUCUUUUCUGACAACUCUAGAAGUAAAGUACACCUGAUGUGAAAGACCUACAAUGGCCAUCAUGUGGGGAAAAUUCUCACUCCAAUGGGUGACACCAAAACAACUUUACUACCAAUCACCAAACCAACUAAGAGUGAAUAGGCUUAAAUAAAUCAUGUUUUAAAGGCAUCUAAGGUGAACAACAAAGCAAUCCUAGGCAAUCAGGAAUUGAUGACAGAAAUCACUAAAAAUUGGCAGAUCCUACUGAGUUUUCUCCCCCUAAUCCAAGUAAUCAGAACUGAAGUACAAUGAAAAAGAAAAAAAAAAAAAGAAAUUUGAGAUGCAACUAAUGGAUUUUAUAAGUCAUGAAAUACAAAGUUUCUCCUUUCCGCCAAUGAAUCAAGGGAUAUUAUAUGAUAUUAUAUGAAGUUGCCUUUAUCAUAUAUAUAUAUAUAUACACACACACACAUACAUAUAUACACACAUAUAUAUACACACAUAUAUAUGUGUAUAUAUACACACACAUAUAUAUAUACACACAUAUAUAUAUACACACAUGUACAUUUAAAUAUUUUAACUUUACUCUUAUAAAUGUUAAAUAAUCAUUUGUAGCAAGAGUAGACAAAUUUCAGAAGUUCUAUCUUUAGAUAUAUUUCUAACAAAUGUUACCCUUUUAUAUAACCAAAUAAAAAUGUUUUCCCCAGGAAGUGUGGUGAUGAACAGUUGGUCUAUAAUCAAAAGGUUCUUUCUAUGAAGCAUGUUCAGCUUUCCUUUUAAACAUGAACAUGGAAAAUAAUACCAACUCUACCAAGCGUUGGAUUUAGCCCAUUAUCAUGUGCAAAUGUACCUGCCUAUUAACUUACAGAUUGGGCAGGUAUUUUACUAAGGUGCAGUAUUUCUGUCCUGGGUCAUAGCUUGAGUUAUUCUCCCUUUCAAGGUCCCCAAUGCUUCAUCUGUCACUCUUAUUGUCAAAUGUUCUAUUUUUCCUGUCCCUGCCAGCAGUGAUUUCAAUUUGGGCUUGACUUCAAGACAGGCCACAUUGUAUCUGUGAUGUCAAUGGAAAGGGGAUAAAAGUCAUUAAAGAUAUUUGUUAUUUUGAAAGGUUAAAAGAGUUUUUCUUGGUGGGUAACACUUUCUCUGGAAAGAACCUCAACUAAUUGUCUGACCAGGGAAUGCGCACCUAAGUGAGAAAAAAAUAUACUUAAUAAAGCAUUGGCGUCUAUUAUUUUUCCCCUUUUAUUGUCCAGUGCCUCUGGGCCUGGUGGGCUUUCUGGAGGCAUCUGAGCUCAAUAUUCCUUCAAACAGCAGAGCAAUGAUUACACUGCUGGGCUGAUUCUCUUUCUGUCUGCCCUAGGUAAGGGAUUCUUGCUUCAAACACCAUUUAUUGUAGAAACUGUUGCUAGGGUUCUAGAAAUUGUGUGUAUCCUUAAAAGAGUACCAAAAAGACAGAAUUGGAGGUUCACAUAAAAUACCAUUUUGUUGUACUUAGUACCCACCUCACCUAACAUUCACUGCUCCAUAGCAAUAGAGCAAGAAAUUAAGAAUAGAAUGCUUUCUAAAGGGCCAAUGGUACCCACAUAAUUUGAGUUCUUCUAAGAAAGGUAGUGAUGGUAAAAAGCAUAUGAACUCAAGAACAAUAAACCAAACCCACACCAGCACACAACAUCCAUCUGUGUAAUGCUUUGAAAAUUAGAAAGAACCAACUUGUGUCAUUUACUUUUGUCAGAUUGUAGGGGAGAAAGCACACACAAAAAAUAGCAUACUUUUAGUUACAUUAGAUUUGGGGUUUAAUUUAAAAGACCCUCACGGAUUAUGAAUGAUCAAAAUGGAAUAAACUCAUCCUUCAGUGGGAAAGUUAAGAUUUUUCUCUUGAUAUCAUUCACAUGUGGAUGGCAAUGAUUCUUUGACAGUCACUAUUUUCUAAAAUGUAGUUACCCGAACACAUCUGAAUAACACAAAAGAGAAAGGAACAUUUUGAUGUGUUGAGGAAAGUUGUUUUGACAAAUGUCAGCGCCUGGGUCUUGCUGGCUGAGGCCUGUUGUUGACUCUGCAAGGCUGCCUGAGUACUAUAGCUUAUGCCACUCUGUCAGGGGGAAUUGGACAUGCCCAACACAAUUCAUUUCCAUUUCUCUACAACAUUACAAGCUUCCUUGGCAGCAAAAUCACAUAUUCUUAUCACAAAAAUAAAUGAGAGAAAAGAAGACAUACAUUUCUGUCAAGUUAUGUCAAGACAUAUUUGGUAUGUAUUUCACUUCACUAUCACUGACAGCAAAGAUGUCACGUAUUCUUAAUACAAAGUAAAGAAGUAUUUUCCUUUUUUUCCCCUGCAAGGCAUCAAUUUCAUUUUAUUCACUUAUAAGCACUGGUGACAGGAAGGUGUCUUUUUAAAACAAAGCUUCAAAAAAGGCAAAAAAGGGAAUAGUUUUUGUGUUUUGCUGGAUUUCUGAAUGGACAUAUUGUACAUGCAUUUAAUUUGACAGUAUCAUAACAACCACGAUAAUAGUCAUCUAUCACCACUUUAUUAUACAUUUUCACAACACACAUUCAUUGCUCUGAUUUACUCCUUUCCGUGCAUGUAAUAGGAUGGUUUAAAACAAGUCAUAGUGAUAUUGAUUUUCCUUUAAAGAUGCCAGUGGAUGAAAAAAGAAAGGAAGGACAGAAGGAAAGAAAGAUGAAG